CCAUACCAUGCUGAAUAUACCGGUUCUCGUUAGAUCACCGAAGUCAAGCAUCAUUGGGCGCGGUCAGUACUUGGGUGGGUGACCACCUGGGAACACCGCGUGCCGUU
rnacentral:rRNA from 1 species